CUUAGCUAUGAGCUCACAUUUGCCAAUGUAGUGUUCCAGACAGUUUUAUCAUCCACAUUGCUGACCUGGAAGAUGCAUCAUUGUCUAUGAUAUCUGCAAUGGAAAUGAUCACUAGGCAAUUUCAGCCUUGCAAAUCUAACUAUGAACAGUGACGGACAGGCUGAGAGCGGAGAGACUUUCCCUUGGACCCUUGCCUCAGUAACUUUUAAUACAUGUAAGACGGAUCAUCUGACUUUGGACUUUCUGAAGCAAUAACAUCGGAAAGUUAAUCAGAGUUGGCGUUCUGGGAAUUCAAGGGCAGAGAUAAGUGUUUCCUCCAGAUACUUCACUGUAUUUCAGCAAAUGACCUGAGGAAAGAAGUCAAAACUUCAUCACGAAAUAGAAGACUGUUCAUUUUCAAUAUUUCUUCCUUGGCCUCUAUGUGGCACUCCCUUGCUGUCUGUCCUGUUGACUUCUAUGGCUUCCACCCAAGGGAGGACAGCAUUAUAGUGGGUGAAUCCAGCACACCCCAAACUGCCCCUGCUCCCCUCUCCCCCGGGCAUGUGGGCCCUCGAAGGCAGGCUUCUCCAAACCAGCAGCAUGUGAACCCUGCCAGAAGUGAGGAAGAGCUCUAGGAGAGCAGCCAGCAGCAUCUGUUUUGCAUACAAAGGGCAGCAACAAUCAAAUCUCUUCUAGAAAAGUUUUCUUGGACAUUCAUGGAGUAAAAUAGAGUUGGAUAAACAAGCCAGGUUUAGAGUGAGCAGCGUUUGAACAAAUAUCAGCUCCAAAGUGUGAAGAAGGUCCUUGCUUCCCCUUCACCUUCUGCCAUGAUUCUAAGUUUCCUGACGCCUCCCAGCCGUGCUUCCUGUUAAGCCUGUGAAACUAAAUUUGGGGGAUGCAUGCAACUUUUCCCUUGUCUGAAGUGAUAACUCUGCAUUCAUUCUUGACCACCAUUAAUCAUGCAUAGCUGUGCUCACUGAGGCAAUGUUUUUGAGCCAAUGGAUGAACAAGAUCUCAUUAGCACUGGUUUCCAUGGUUUAUCGCUCAUGGCCAAUGUCACACAGAAUUUUCAACCAGGAUGGGAACGCCCAGCAGCUGGAUGUCCAGCUGCCAAUUCAUCAAUUUGAGAACCUUUGGAAUGAGUACACAUCCAGGAGUGAAGAAGACAAGCUCAACUGCCAUUCUCUGAGCAGUUCAAGGCAUACUGAGUUGCGGGAGUUGUGUGGUGGUCCACUCUGACUGCAAGCACCCCUUUCUUGAACCGAACAGAGUCAAGUGGAAUCAAAGGACAUUACCUGUUGAUUCUUGGGCAAGGCCCAGAAUUUGGUGGACAUACUUAAAGAAGAAAGGAAUCUUCAGCUAAAGUGUCUACGAUCAAUUCAGAUUUGGAGGGCAUGGAUCUUCUGACAGUAGGGGCCAUUCUAGGAUUUUUUGGUUGAAGAGAUGAACUUCAACUUGGUUCCAGAUGGGUGGUCCAGCUAUUCUGCUGACAACAUUUUUCAGGGCAAGGCUUUUGCUACUGGAAUGAUUUAAGGAAGAUCCCUCAGUGUUUCAGAGUAAAGAUAUUUCUAAAGAAGUACCUGUGUCAUUGCCCAUCUUGAAGAUUGACUUUUAUGGAUUGCUCAAAUACUGAUAUCAGCUCAAUGUCAAUAUAUACUCCUACAUAUAAAAUCCAUCUUCUAAUCAUAAUCACUAGGUAAGAUGCUAGUGCAAGUUGAAGUUCUUAAAGGAGAUGACCUGAACAGCCUUCUUAGUGUACCAGGGAGACCAGAUUGAGUUUAAACUAUGUUUACCCUGCACUCAGACACGCCUAGGUGUGUCUGGGAGAUUAGUAGAUGGUGUUCAACAAGGAUCUAUUUAAACAAGGGAGACAUUAAUUUGGAUUCCUUUGGUUGUAAAUUUCCAAAAAAAAAAAAAAGGUCUAAGUUAAAAUGUUUAAGGAGGAUGGGGGAAGAAUGUGAUGACUGUUAUAGUUAAUGUG
ensembl:lncRNA LY86-AS1 LY86 antisense RNA 1